rnacentral:misc_RNA from 1 species
UCCAACGCAAGAGGUGAGUCUACUCCCGCCCUUCUGCAGUCUUCACACACGUCUGCACGCACCGAUACGCGCAUCUCCAUCUUUUCAUUCCUUGCUGCUGUCAUCAGCGUGCGGUCCAUCCCGCCACCCGCACUUGCGCCUCCGACGUCUCGCUCUCUCUCCCCUUCCCCUUUCGAGGAGGAGAACCUCUCCCCGCGCAGCGCUCUCACCAUGCUGCAGGCCGCAACGAAUUCAAACGUGUUGCCGCUGAGCGGCGGCCGCAGCGCGCUGAACCACGGCUACUCGAUGCACACCCUCGCGCGCAAGCGCUUCAGGGAGAACACGUCUGCCUUAGCGGUGACGGUCGGCUUCGUGCUGCCGGCGUUGAACGGGGUCAACAAACAGCUGGACAAGCACGUCGACGCCGGGACGGAUGUUUCCAUGGAUGAGCUGAUGCAGAUCUUUGCCAAGUCUGGCAAGGAUGCGGCGGCACUGUACGCCGAUCGCAUGGCGCGCAUCGCCUGUCAGACGGGCCUGGCCUGCGCCCUCAUCGAAAGCAAGUCCGCCUACUGCAAUGCCGCCGUAUACCUCUGGGACCUGUACCCCCGCCUGCACCAGCGGUACGUCGGCGCCGUGCUCAGCUGGCUGCGCAUCCCUGUCUUUGUGAGCAGCCUGCUGGGCCCGCACCCAACGACGCAGGACGUAGCUUUCCUGCAAGCCCGCGUAUCGGGCGUCUGCGCCUUCGAGGACAGCCUCCGCCGCGACACCAUUACUCUGUUCGGUGACCUCCUCGUUGACACGGCGCGAAUAUUGAUCCGCCGCGAUGUGGACAACCCGUCCGAGGCCGUUGCCCGGCAGGCGGUGCUGCGCGUGACCGUCACCGUUGUCGGCGCCGUUGGCGCCGGCUUGGGUCGCGCUGCCGCUGGGGAGCGUGGUGAAUACUGGGGCAACAUCGCCGGCGUGAUGGCGGGCCCUGCAGUUGCGGUGCAGCUGUGGACAGCGGUAAGGAAGAUGCGCAUGCUGCGCCCGCGCCGUGCCAUCGACGCCACCAAGAGCCAUCGACACCGUCACAGCACGUCUGAAGGCUCGAGGGCUGCUGCCGCCACCGCCGGCGGUGCGCCCGCCACGGCGAAGGCGUAGCACAUCAGGAACAGAGAAGAGGGCGCCACAAAGUCGGCUUGCACGGAGACGGUGUCCUCGGUGCAGCAUGCGUGAAGGUUCGAAGUGCUUACAUGAAAAGGAGCGCUUCGGUGUCGCGCCGCAUGGUUGCCCACGUCGCCGCCGCCGCCGCCUCAAUCAGAUAGACUUGUGUCCACCCACCUGCCCUACUGCCGUUCCUACGUUGCGCUCACAUAGACAUGCAUGCGGCCCUGCACCACACGCACACCUCGUUAUCCAUCUGCGCUGUGGUUGUGUUCCUUCUUUAGCGGCCCUGAUGGCGGAGGGGGCACCUCCGUGAGUGGCAUCUCAGGGUCCAGUACCCCCUCCCCUAUCCUAUCCCUGCCACGUGCCGAGCCGCCUCUGGUGUUGACAGGGUCAAGCACCCGCGACCCAGCGAAGUCGGGGCGGUGUGGCGCUACGCAUGUCGGCCAUCACAUCCUGGAUGGCGUUGCGUCGGAGCGCCAUGCGGCAGUGAACGCGCGCCCGUGCCAUCCACAUGAUGGGCGGAGCGUCCGCGUGCCUCGAACCUGUCCCACCCACGCCCCGGCCUUCACAGCGCCCGCUGCUGGUGUGGCGGGGAGCCUGAGAGCCGCCCGCCCCUCCCCCCCCCCCGAGCGGGGAUGCGCCAAGGCGGCGGACCUGCGAGGCGGCGGUGCGGGCAGAGGUUGAGGCAGGGGCCGUGCGCCGAUGGCUGCGUCGGCGCAUUGCUGUGCCGCGUGUGUCUACGGCCGGGCGUCGAGUGGCGCGGCGUUGAGCUCGUCGUGUAUGGCUGAGAGAUGGGCCACACGUUGAAGUUGCGCAUUUCGUUGUAAAAGCUUGUAGUGAGGGGAGGAGAGGCGGCCGGCGCGCCCCGUCGACCCUCGAUUCUCCCUCGUGUGUUUCAAAGUCUCCACAGGGUCGUGAAGAGAGAUCGGAGAUCGCUGAAACGUUGCUGGGCUUUUCCAGACUGACAAGUGGCCGCCGUCCAGAGCACGCGCGCAUCAGGCCGUCUCCUCGGCGUCCAAGGACAGGGCCGUGAUGUGCGCGUUUUCAUGAUCCGAAAACUCACCCCCUCCUUGCCUGCAUGACCUCUUGGGUCUAUCUUGUCCUCCGCUUGCACGGCAUGGCAGCUGCAAUGCACACGCACGCCCCUCUCGCUCCCUGCACUCUCUCCUCCCCUCUCUUCCUGCAG